UGUCACAGCCAUAUCACCCUGCAGCCUAAGACCGGUUACUUACUGAAGCUAAGCAGGGCUGAGCCUGGUUAGUACCUGGAUGUUACCACAUGGGAAAACUAGGUUGCUGUUGGAA
ensembl:rRNA 5S_rRNA 5S ribosomal RNA